CCCGCCGGCGACCGGCGCACGGGUGAGUAACACGUAUGAAACCUGCCCGUAGCAGGGGGAUAAGCGGAAGAAAUUCCGUCUAAUACCGCGUAACAACCCAUGGAGGCAUCUCUGUGGGUUUAAAGGAAGCGAUUCCGGCGGGGGAUGGGCAUGCGGCGCAUUAGCUAGUCGGCGGGGUAACGGCCCACCGAGGCGACGAUGCGUAGGGGUUCUGAGAGGAAGGUCCCCCACACUGGUACUGAGACACGGACCAGACUCCUACGGAAGGCAGCAG
rnacentral:rRNA from 1 species